rfam:Ornithorhynchus anatinus chromosome 3, whole genome shotgun sequence.
GUCCUCUCAGGGUCGCAACUGGAGAGUUUCCAGUACUCUACCAGUCUCUGCUACAGGAUGAAGAGUCAGGCAGAGGCAUAUCCAUUCCAUUCCUAGCUUGGGCAGUGGCUAGCGAGUGGAAGGCAAUCUGCUACAAGU